CCUAAGGUAGCGAAAUUCCUUGUCGGGUAAGUUCCGACCUGCACGAAUGGCGUAAUGAUGGCCAGGCUGUCUCCACCCGAGACUCAGUGAAAUUGAACUCGCUGUGAAGAUGCAGUGUACCCGCGGCAAGACGGAAAGACCCCGUGAACCUUUACUAUAGCUUGACACUGAACAUUGAGCCUUGAUGUGUAGGAUAGGUGGGAGGCUUUGAAGUGUGGACGCCAGUCUGCAUGGAGCCGACCUUGAAAUACCACCCUUUAAUGUUUGAUGUUCUAACGUUGGCCCGUAAUCCGGGUUGCGGACAGUGUCUGGUGGGUAGUUUGACUGGGGCGGUCUCCUCCUAAAGAGUAACGGAGGAGCACGAAGGUUGGCUAAUCCUGGUCGGACAUCAGGAGGUUAGUGCAAUGGCAUAAGCCAGCUUGACUGCGAGCGUGACGGCGCGAGCAGGUGCGAAAGCAGGUCAUAGUGAUCCGGUGGUUCUGAAUGGAAGGGCCAUCGCUCAACGGAUAAAAGGUACUCCGGGGAUAACAGGCUGAUACCGCCCAAGAGUUCAUAUCGACGGCGGUGUUUGGCACCUCGAUGUCGGCUCAUCUCAUCCUGGGGCUGUAGCCGGUCCCAAGGGUAUGGCUGUUCGCCAUUUAAAGAGGUACGUGAGCUGGGUUUAAAACGUCGUGAGACAGUUUUGUCCCUAUCUGCCGUGGGCGUUGGAAGAUUGACGGGGGCUGCUCCUAGUACGAGAGGACCGGAGUGGACGCAUCACUGGUGUUCGGGUUGUCAUGCCAAUGGCACUGCCCGGUAGCUAAAUGCGGAAGAGAUAAGUGCUGAAAGCAUCUAAGCACGAAACUUGCCCCGAGAUGAGUUCUCCCUGAGACUUAGAGUCUCCUGAAGGAACGUUGAAGACGACGACGUUGAUAGGCCGGGUGUGUAAGCGCAGCGAUGCGUUGAGCUAACCGGUACUAAUGAACCGUGAGGCUUAACCUU
rnacentral:rRNA from 1 species